GACGAACGCUGGCGGCGUGCUUAACACAUGCAAGUCGAACGGAAAGGCCCUGCUUUUAUGGGGUGCUCGAGGGGCGAACGGGUGAGUAACACGUGAGUAACCUGCCCUUGACUUUGGGAUAACUUCAGGAAACUGGGGCUAAUACCGGAUAGGAGCUCCUGCUGCAUGGUGGGGGUUGGAAAGUUUCGGCGGUUGGGGAUGGACUCGCGGCUUAUCAGCUUGUUGGUGGGGUAGUGGCUUACCAAGGCUUUGACGGGUAGCCGGCCUGAGAGGGUGACCGGCCACAUUGGGACUGAGAUACGGCCCAGACUCCUACGGGAGGCAGCAGUGGGGAAUAUUGCACAAUGGGCGGAAGCCUGAUGCAGCAACGCCGUGUGAUGGAUGACGGCCUUCGGGUUGUAAACCGCUUUCGCCUGUGACUAAGCGUGAGUGACGGUAAUGGGUAAAGAAGCACCGGCUAACUACGUG
rnacentral:rRNA from 1 species